UGUCUUCAAUAUACAACAAUAUCCUGAUCGAAGUAUUAAAAGGUAUUGCUAUAUUACAUUGAAUGUUCACGAUGGGGAAAGAUGCAUCGAAUAUACCCAAAAAACGAAAUUGAUAAUUAAACAAACAAAUUAAUCGCCAUUUUUUUCACCCGCAUAGUCAAGACGCUUAUUUGCUGUAUCCAAAAAUAGAACUAUUGUUUUUGAAUUAAUGCUUUAAUGACCUGAUUUUGUAACAUAACAUAAAUAUUGAAACACUCCGAAUUUUUAGGUGAUCAUAUCGGAUUUAAAGUAAACUAGUUCAAUGUAUUGUUUGUCAUUCGCAAUAAAGAGUACGUCAUAGGCCAAAUGUAUCAUUCAAACAGUACUUCUAUUUAUGGAUACGGUAAAUAAGUGUUGGUCGAAAAUGGCGGGUCAAUAUCGACUGGGUUAAAUCUAUCAUGAGUGGAAUGAAUCUUGUAAAACGUCAAGGUAGCACAAGUUGUAAAAAUGACAAAUUUGAAAAUCGACAUCCCUGCUGAUAUGAUCCUAAACUGUGACCACGCUGGUUUAUAUCAGACUGGACGAUGGACGAGGAAGGGAAGAAACGAGUUGAAAUAUCGGGCCUCGGUGACAAACGCCAGAUAACAGCAAUAUUUGCUGGUUCGCUUACAGGUGAAUUUCUACCAUCAUAAUUAAUAUUUGGAGGAAAUACGAACCGUUGUCAUCCCAGUUAUGAGUUCCCCGGAGACUGGCAUAUAACACAUAGCGACAUUCACUUGGCACAACUGGCCUACGUCGAUCACGUGAUUCUACCGCGGUUGCAUUUUUGUUGUUUAAGAGCGCAAAUGAUUGAAGUUUAAAAACCACUUGUCAAAUAAUCAUAUUAAAAUUGUUUACGUGCCAGCGUGCUGCACUAGUUGGUUGCAGCCUAUGGACUUAAGCGUGCAAAAAUCGGUCAAGACGCAUUUGAAGACAUCGUUUGAUCUUGGUGUUCAAAGAAAAUCACAAAGCAAUGGGCGUUGACUCUGACGAAGUCAGUCCAGCAGAGAUGCUAUUGCAUUUUAUGAAAGAGCAGUUUUCACAAUGCCUUGUUUCAAUGUUUCAGAGCAUUAAAGCCAAACUAGAGCUAAUCGUGAAUGAGUUUCGUGCUGCCGGAGUAGCUGGUGCAUUUGAAGAUAUCAUGUUUCUAAAUCAGUUAAAGGUUAAAUGUUCUGUUAAAAAUGCGAACUGCAUAGACAAUGAUCAUGUAAUAGCACUUUGCUAACAUAUAUUUUUUAAAUCCACAUGCAAUUAUAUCUUACAAUGUAUUCAUUAAAAGCAAAGUAACUUUA